GACGAACGCUGGCGGCGUGCCUAAUACAUGCAAGUUGAGCGCUGAAGGUUGGUACUUGUACCAACUGGAUGAGCAGCGAACGGGUGAGUAACGCGUGGGGAAUCUGCCUUUGAGCGGGGGACAACAUUUGGAAACGAAUGCUAAUACCGCAUAAAAACUUUAAACACAAGUUUUAAGUUUUAAAGAUGCAAUUGCAUCACUCAAAGAUGAUCCCGCGUUGUAUUAGCUAGUUGGUGAGGUAAAGGCUCACCAAGGCGAUGAUACAUAGCCGACCUGAGAGGGUGAUCGGCCACAAUGGGACUGAGAAACGGCCCAAAAUCCUACGGGAGGCAGCAGUAGGGAAUCUUCGGCAAUGGACGAAAGUCUGACCGAGCAACGCCGGGUGAGUGAAGAAGGUUAUCGGGUCGUAAAACUCUGUUGGUAGAGAAGAACGGUGGUGAGAGUGGAAAGCUCAUCAAGUGACGGUAACUACCCAGAAAGGUACGGCUAACUACGUG
rnacentral:rRNA from 1 species